AUCCCUCCUUUUUUAUAAAGUCCACCCACCGCCAAGCUUGUGCUAUCCAUUGAUUCCAUGAAUUUUCACGCAGACUCAUUGCUUCGAUUCCCUUCCAGUCCACUAUUGAUGAUUAGCAUGCAAAUCAUAUCGUACACUAGUUGUGGCAAACUCGUGAAGGACAACCUCUUUAGUCUUUAGAUUCAUAGCCCCUUUCCCUUCGUGGCUUCAUGAUCAUCUUGGUCACAUUUUCGGGCAUUCUGGUAAAGCUACACCAUCACUAGCCCAGCCAUCUCUGCCAGUUUACAGGUAACAUCAUUGAGCUCAAGGGUCCAACUUCAUUUGUUCAGAGACAAAUGCUACCUCUGUGGUUGGUUGAUUUAAUUGGAAGAUGGUGAUCUCCAAAUGGGAAUUUUCAUCCUCCCCAUCAAUUAUCCUCAAUGAUGCUAUAGAAUUGUUGUGAUUGGGACUCCCAACAGUGAGUCCAACAACCUGAGUCAAAAACUGUGGGUUGCGUUGCAACAAGCCCAACCAGGAAAAUCUGAAAACCACAAGUGGAUUUGUAAUGGAUUCUGCUUAACGUAGUAACUACUCAAUUAGUAUGUAUGUAUCUGUCAUAAUUGACUAUUGAUCAUGUAUAUGUAUAUGUAAAAUUACUAAUGAAUUUGGUUUGUAUGUAUCGCCCGUUUGUUGUUUUUGACUUUUGCCCAACUAAAAGUACUUGAGCUGUUCAAUAGCAUCUCAU